UACGUAGGGGGCAAGCGUUGUCCGGAAUCAUUGGGCGUAAAGAGCGUGUAGGCGGCUCGAUAAGUCUGCUGUGAAAGUCCAGGGCUCAACCCUGGAAGGCCGGUGGAAACUGUCGGGCUAGAGUCCGGAAGAGGCGAGUGGAAUUCCCGGUGUAGAGGUGAAAUUCGUAGAUAUCGGGAGGAACACCGGUGGCGAAGGCGGCGACCUGGUCCGAUACUGACGCUGAGGCGCGAAAGCGUGGGGAGCAAACAGG
rnacentral:rRNA from 1 species